AUCUAUAUAUAUAUACAACUUUUUUGGGUUAAUUUCAUACAGUUUUUCGCAAAUAUAAUGAAUUGUAAAUAUAUUCCUACAAAGUUUAAUUUUCAUAUGUUGUUCCUAUAAAAAUUCUAAUAUUUUCAAAUAUGUCCCUCCGAUUUGUUACCAUUAAAAUACUGUUUAUUUUAUAAGUGAAAUGAUAUUUUUACCAUCACAAAUAUAUAAUCCAAAAGUCCUAACGAUUAAUUGAAGAGGGAUAAAAAAAUCAAUUUACCUCAAUAACUAACUAGAGUUAAGUAUUUUAUCUAUAGUUAACUAAUUUUUUCUAACGGAUCUUAACGGCAUGGGCAUAUAUGAAAAUAUCAUGAUUUUUACAUAAACAGCAUAUAAAAGUUAAACUUUGUAAAAAUAUAUUUAUAAUUUACUAUAUUUGUAUGAAACUGUAUAAAAUUAAAUGGGCAGUAAAGUGGCAACCAAUAGAUGAACAAAGAAUUGAUCAUCUAAAUGCCAUAUGUGGUGUAGAUAUAUAUCCUGCUAUGUCUCGCCUUACAUAAAAUCUCUAACUGGUCGCAUUAACUUUAUUGGUUAAUUACGAGCCUAGUAAUGAAUUAAAAAAGUGAAAAAAAUAUUUAACGCAACCACCUUUGAGAUACAUUACAUUACAUCCUAAUCAUAGUUAGUUAAUUCGGAUUCGGCAAAAAUUCGGUACGAAUAUAAUACAUAUAAAAUUCGUUUUCUAAUUUUUAAAUUAUUUGAAAAAUUCGGCUUAAAAAAUAGAUUCGGUAUAAAAUAUAAAAUAUAAGAUAUAAAAUAUAAAAUAAUUUAUAUUUAAAAUAAAAUUAUAAGUUUUUUUUUUAUAUUUUCAAUAAUUUGGCAAUAAUUCGCGAAUAAUUUCUUUUCUUUCGAAAAAAUUCGUAAUUUUAAUUCGGAUUUUUAAUAAUUCGUAAAUAAUUUGUGAAUAAUUCGCGAAUUUACUAACUGGAUCCUAAUUCACAUGUGACUUUUUUUUUUCUUUUUUCUUUUUUUUUUGCAA
rnacentral:lncRNA from 1 species